UCUUCAAACAAGGUACCGUGAGGGAAAGUUGCAAAGAACUUUGUUUAGUAGAGUUCAAGAGUACGUGAAACCGCUGGGAUGGAAACGGAGAGAGUUGACGAAAGCCGGUACCAUUCAACUGCGUUGCGUAAUCGCACUUGGGCAUGGCCACCCCUCUGGGGAGCUUGUCACGGUGGCAGAUGCGUGGCGCGUGCACUUGGUGCUGGUAUGCGCUGAGGGCCUUGACUGGGCUCACCGAACUGCAGUGUGUUGCCCACUCCGGUGGUGUCUUGCACGUGGCUAGGUGUGCUCGGCUAGGGUUAGCUGCUAAUGCGUUCCCGCUAGGCGUUUGUUGUUGCGCUUCUUUGCGUGCUGCUUGGGCGGUCGUCGCAAGGCGACAGGCUUUUGUAGUGUGUAAGGUGGUGUAGCGCGAACGUGGAAUGCUUGCUCCUCGGUGUGACCGUCGACCACCCCUCCGACCCGUCUUGAAACACGGACCAAGAAGUCUAGCAUAUACGCGAGUCAUUGGGUGGUAAACCUAAAGGCGUAAUGAAAGUAAAGGUGGCUUGAUCCGCUGAUAUGGGAACCGUAAACGAGAGUUUGCGGAAACACCAUAGCCCCGUCCCGUAGGCUUGCGCUGGGGCGGCAGAAAGUACGGCAU
rnacentral:rRNA from 1 species